UGGCACUAUUGUGGGUACCUAGAAGUGCUGAUGGAGCUGCCGAUCCCUCCUCUGCUCCUCUGCCAGGACAAGCACUUUCACAGGACCUAGUCAAUAUCCCAUCAUGAGGCCGCCUCUCUCUGGGUGGUGUAUUCUGCCAUGAUGACAGGUUCCUAAAUCCUGACUUCUACACAGACACCCAAAGUUAGCCCUGAGGACAUAUCUGCCGACAGCUGUGAUGAUGCCAGUAAUUUUACAAUUACACAAGGAAAGGGGAAAAGUGAGAGAAGCAGCAGUGUCAAUCCACAUCAAGAGUCAAGUGCCAGGGACCGGGCCAAGAGCAGCACACAAACCUACAUCAGGACCCGAAUUGGCCAGUCACCAGCUUGAUCUCUAGCUUGAGAUCAGAAACAUCUAUCCUUGGAAUCCAAUGGUUGAAACUUGAGAGUACCUAUCCUACAAAAUGACGGGAAAGAUUAAAUAAGAUCACUUUUUAAA